GCCUUUAUAGCUCAACGGUAGAGCGGAAUACUGUUAAAUAUUCUGAUAGAUGUUCAAUUCAUCUUGAGGGCU
rnacentral:tRNA from 1 species